rnacentral:rRNA from 1 species
UACGAAGGGGGCUAGCGUUGCUCGGAAUCACUGGGCGUAAAGCGCACGUAGGCGGAUUGCUAAGUCAGGGGUGAAAUCCUGGAGCUCAACUCCAGAACUGCCUUUGAUACUGGCGACCUUGAGUCCGGGAGAGGUGAGUGGAACUGCGAGUGUAGAGGUGAAAUUCGUAGAUAUCGGGAGGAACACCUGUGGCGAAAGCGGCUCACUGGACCACAACUGACGCUGAGGGACGAAAGCUAGGGGAGCGAAAGGG